UUAACUGAAUAGAUGGUUUGCGACAGGUACCUAUAACACACACUUGUGUCUCUUGAAAGCAUCUCCAAGUGUCAUUUAGAACUUAUUUAAUGAAUGCAUAAUAAAAUUAAUAAGAUACAGUGCUGGCCAGAACAUAAUCUUUUAACAACGGCCACAUCCAAUGAAACAAUAUGUUUAGCUGGCAGCAAACGUUGUAAGUCAAUGAAACCGAGACCUAUCAGCACCAUUACGUUAUUAAUGUUCACGACAUAAUUCCUGCAGCCGCAGUCGCGCAUACACGCGCAAGAUUUCACGCGCAAAAACCGUUACAACCGUUGCAGCGCGAGCACAGGGACUGAGAGGAACAGCGCACCUAUCUGAGGGACUGAAACAAAUAUGAGCACAGAAGUUAUUCAAUGGACUCAAGAUAUUUUGCACUCAAGAUGUGACUGGUUGACUGGAAAAAGUUUCCACAAAUUUAUCCUAAUUUCCUAAUUAUUUCAAGGUUGAUCUCACAGGAAUGCCUACUCUUUUUAACUGUGUCAUAUGCAGCAAACAAACAUUUUCUAUAAACAGACAUAUUGGCCUUUAUCACCAAAAUAGCCCAAAAUUAGAAUUCACACGUGGAUUAAAUAGUUGUGGCAAAAUAAACAAAAUCUUCAGUUCCUAUAGAUUAGGUUAAAAUGUAUGUUUGCUGCAAUAUAUAAUUCAGCAUGCAAUUUUGUUAAAAUGAUCAUCUUCUACUCCUUGUUUUAGAGAAUGAAAUUGAUGGGGAUACUGAGAAUAUGAGCUAAAUGUUUUCCUAAAAUAAAGGAUCAAGUUAAAUUCAUUAGACUACACAGAAACAAAUAAAGACUGAAAUGCCUACCAAGACUACACACAUCAGUCAUGAGUGUCCAACAAGUUACCAAUUAAACAAGGUGUGAUUAUCCCUUGUCACCAAAUACCAGUUCUUGAGAGACUGGUAAGAGAAUGGAACCACAAGAUUUCAUCAAAAGUCCAACAGAUAACCAGUGCAGAGACUGAGGAAAACCAAGACAUGUACAGCAUCGAAAGAGAGGACUGCAUGGCAUAGACAAUGACUGAGAGGACUAAAUCCCUAUCCAGCCCUUAAAGUCCCUUCAGUUCUUGCAUUUGAGGUCCAAAGCAUACUUGACACAGACAUCAAAAGAAACAUGCUGAAGAAUCUAGGCCUGGUGGCACAGAAAAAGAUUAAUGAGUGCCACAGAAGACAGGUUGGAGUGGAUAUCUGUAGCGAACUGGAUGAAGCAAAACAAGCCUACAUUGAUUUGGCACACAGAGGAGAGCCCAAGAUUCCUUUAUGUCAUUAAUCAGGUACCAAAUACACCCAACCCAGUUCUAUAAAAGGAAGCCCUUUGGGUGCAGAUUCAAUCCUGGAGAUAAUGAUGGAAGGUGUGAAAGUCUUUGAGGUAGAAGAUGUCACUAUAGCGCUUGUGCUGACUUCAUCUUCAGCAUUGAAAAAUUUAUUUUUAAAUUAAUGUAUGUUUAUGUAAAUGCAUAAAGUGGAAAGUAAAUACAUGAUGUGGAUGAAUCAACAUAAGAUAUAUUGAAUGAGACAAAACAAAAAUGCCACCUGCAGUUAUUAAAAUGGCCAAUUUCUUGUUUAAAUGAAUGUAUGUUUAUGUAAUGGCAUAGUGUAGAGAGUAAAUACAUGAU